UGGUAGGUGGGGAGGGCAAGCCACAGUGGAGUAGCAUGGAGUGGUAUGGUGGAUCCCCUCGAGAAGGGGGCCAGGUGCUCCAGGACACAGACCUGAGACUGCUGCCCCAGAGAGGAAGAAGAACUGGGAACCUGCCAGAAACCCCUGAGCCAGGUUGAGCUGAAAUUUGAAAUUUCAACAGUGUGGAACAUUUAACUCCUCCCUUUAUCUGAAACAAGCAAAGAAAGAUCCUCUGAAAUCAUGACUGUGAGCCAAAAGAUGAUACACAGUAAUGCUACUAGAGUUUACAAUUCUGGGAAAGUAGAAUAUUCAGCAUAAUAAAUAUUUGGAGCUACAUUUGCCUAGAAAGCCAUGUGUUUGCUAGCUGUGACAGAGAUGCAGCGGAGAUGAAAAAGAGAUGGAGUGAGCCAUGAAGCUGCAAAAGAAAAAGAAACUGGCAUCAGGGUAAACAGAUUCAGAAUCCUAAUUCUGCAAAGCUCCCAAUGAUAUCAGCUGGAACUGAGGGCUCUUGCCAUUUCAAUAAGUGAAAGGGUAGGCUCUGGACUUGCGUAAAGCCACACAUUCAUGUGGGAAGGUGCCUCAAAAACCCACGCAUAAAAACAAGCACUUGUGAAAGGAAAACACUGAUAGAAUGAAUGGCACAUUAACGUACCUUCUAAAAAUUAUUCCAGAUAUGGCAGCAGAUAAUAGAGCCAGACUCUUCCCAGAAAAUAUCAAGAAAAUAAUGAAGGACCAAAAGAGCCUGGAAAUGAACUAAGCCUAGAAUUCAUCUCAAAUGUCGA